ACGCUUAGAGGUUUCUAUUGAUUGUACAUCAUUAUAAUAUUAGCUUAUUUUGGCAAGUUUCAUUCCUACUGAUCAUUACAUUUGCAAUAGUUUUGGGGGCAUUGUGCUGAAAAUUCUGUCUGUUGUGUAGAGUUUUUAGGAUGAUAUGGUCCAAGAGUACUUGGAUGCACCUUUAAGACAUUCUCUAACUCGUGUGCCUGUGGAAUCUAAAGUCUUUUUUAUGGGGUUACCAUCUUGGGUUCGUUCGAAAUUUAGACAUCUCUUGUUUUUAUCUUUCUUGACCCCUUAAAACAAAUAUACGAGCAUGCUUCUAUAUUUGUUACAUUUUGACUUAAGUUAAUGAAUUAUGUGAAGUUGUAAACCAUGUAAUAAGACUCAAAGUUUGUUUAAACUAUGUUCCUUCACGUGUAGGGUAGUGAAUGAACCACUUGAAAGUAUAUGAUAUCCUAUGUUCUUGGUUUAGAUGGGAAUAACAUGGAAAAAGUGUUUUAUUAGCUUUGUACAGUGUAAAUGAGGGUCUGAUAGUACGUGUAUUGGUGGCGCCUUUGUUCGGUCUUAGUUCAAUGGUUGGAUUGCUGAUGAAUCUAGGCGUUGUUUUGCCUAUUGUCUUUAAUGCUUCAAAGUAUAUUCACUAUGAGGGUGCUAAGGUUUAAACCAAGCGUCCGCUAAGUAUUGAAGAGGGCCACUUAAG